CAGGUGAACAGGUGUAGAGCAGGUGAACAGGUGUACAGCAGGUGAACCGGUGUAGAGGAGGUGAACAGGUGAACAGGUGUAGAGCAGGUGAACAGGUGUACAGCAGGUGAACCGGUGUAGAGGAGGUGAACAGGUGAACAGGUGUAGAGCAGGUGA